AAUUCUCUUCUUACAUUUCUGUUCUCUAAAGUUUAAUGUAUUUGGUAUUAACUUUUAUAUUUGAUGGAUUUUUCUCCUUUUACAUUGUUUUUAUUUAGAUUUUGUUUCAUGAAAAUGGAAAUAAGAUUGAACUUAGAUAGUAGGAGUGCCAGAAAAUAAGAUGAAGAGAUUUUGUUAGGUUGCUUAUGUCAUUUGGUUGAUGUACAUGUUUUGAACUGUGAGUGUAUCUUAGCAUAGUUUUGAGCAUUGAUGACCUCUCUGAAUUUAACCACUCUAUUUGAGAUCCCAUUUCUUGGGUGGGAAGUCUCAAAUUGAAAAUAAAGUUGUGGGUUUGAAGAUCUUAAUGUUAGAAUUUGUGAUAUAUCCCUCCUCAAUUGUUGCUGCACAUGUUUUGUCACCCUUUGCAAUAAAUUUUGAGCGGUCUGUUGUAGCUUGAGGGUAAUCGUCAUAAAAAAAUUGACAUCUUUUUGGGUUCAAAACAAUGUUUUAAUCUCGCACCAACGUGUGACUUUUAGUCUUUUCCAUAAGCGUUCUAACUUGGACAAGUUAUUGCUCAACAUGAUAUCAAAAUCUAAUUAACGAAUGAGGUAUUUAGUCGUAGUGACCUAUUUGAUAAUUCUCAUAGUUGUCAAUAACAACAGCAUACCCAUUCAAAUUCCACAAGUGGAGUAUGAGGAGGAUAAAGUGUAAGAAGACCUUACCUCUACCUCAUGAAAGUAGAGAAAUUGUUUUUGAAAUUUUCAUAGUUGUCCAAUUAUCUUAUUAUGUUGGUAUAAUCGUAUAAGAAGCCUCUUGUAGAAGUAAUUGAAGGAGUUGCAGCAGGAAAAAUUAGUGUUCCCACAAAAAAGUAUUCUGGCACGACAACGGAUGAGGUCACCUACUUUUAUUUCGAAUUCUUAUGGAUUUAACUCCUUUAUGAUUAAAGACGUUUGAUAAACGUGGCAAUUAAUACUUUUGGAUCCUUGCUCGCUUUUAUAAUUAUUCCUCGACUUAGCUAAUGUGGCAGAAAACAAUCAAGGUUUAGAGACAGAACAAGAAGUAGGCUAAACUAUGGGAAGGGUUGAUUCAGAUUCUCUUGAUUUUCAUGUCCUUCAGGUACAAUGACACAUACUUUUUUCAGGUUCUUCAAAUUUUGGCCCCUUUUUGUUCAAAAAGAACCAUAGUGUUCUGUUUAGUGUACUAAUAAUAUUUAGUGACAGAUUAUGGUGUUGUAUAUUGUAUUUAUUGCAUAUUGGAUUUGAUCACUUCUGUUAAGUCUUGGCAAAAAAUAGGUUUAAGUAUACAUUUAUGUAGAUGUGCUAAGGUGAGGAAUUGCAAUCAGUUACUUCCUGAGAUGCAACUGGAAGAGAGAUAUACGGUACACAAAUAAAAUGUACACCAACAAUAUGAGUUAAAAGGAGAUGAUCUACGUGGAAAUAACAGACAACCGAUUGAGUUCAAUUCUCACGUUAGCUAUGUCUAAGAUCUGAGGAUUCGAUGAGCAAUUUUGUUAGUCAAUACUGGUGUUAUCUUAUUUUUCAUGUAUGAAAGGCCUAAUUGUCUUAAUUGAGGGUUGCAGUUAAUUAAGUUAUAGACACUAGUAUCUAUAGUUAUGUUGUUAAAGGUUCAGACAAACAUCUCUCUCCUUAAUUGAGGGUUGGAGCAAGUACUUUGGCUAAUUGUUACAACUUAAAUCUGAUUUGUCAUUUUUAGCCUCGUAGGUUGUAGUUAAAUUCACCUUUACAAAGCACGGUGGCAUCUAUCAUUGAUCAA